AUGGAUUUUAGAUCCCCCCCGCCUCCCCCGGGCCGCUCCUUGGGGAUUCUUCUGGAUAAUCCAAUGGAUUUUAGGUCCUUCCCGCUCUCCCCCGGGGAGUUUGCAGUAAAAAAAAAGGGGGUUUUGGUCAUUUUUUUGGGAUCGGGGGUUGUUUUCCAGGGUUUUUGGAUGGGGGGGGGGGGAAUCCCGGCGCGGGGGGAGCAGCUGGCUGGAAAAUCCCAAAUCCCGCUUUUUUUAGCAAUAUUUCGGGGUUCGGCCGCAGCCCCGAGGAAUUGGGGUGGGGAAUCACCAAAACCCCACUCGGAGCCCCGGGAGCCUCGGGGGGGCCGUUCCCGAGGGAAUCCCGAGGGGCUCCCGGGCCGUUCCCUAUGGAAUCCCGAGAGGCUCCCGGGCCGUUCCCGAGGGAUUCCCGGGCCGUUCCCGAGGGAUUCCCGGCCGUUCCCGAGCGGUUCCCGAGGGGUUCCCGGGCCGUUCCCGAGGCAUUCCCGGGCCGUUCCCGGGGCAUUCCCGGGCCGUUCCCGGGGCAUUCUCGGGCCGUUCCCGAGGCGUUCCCGGGGCAUUCCCGGGCCGUUCCCGGGGCAUUCCCGGGCCGUUCCCGAGCGGUUCCCGGGCCGUUCCCGGGGCAUUCCCGGGCCGUUCCCGAGGGGUUCCCGGG
rnacentral:lncRNA from 13 species